rnacentral:lncRNA from 1 species
CGGUCAUUUUCUUGUUCACCUAGACGCCUGUCCCGCGGCGGGCAGCUUUGCUCCCUUCAUCUUCCUGUCCGCUCGCCCCCCUUCUUCACAUCUCCGGAGAUCGCCUGAUUUGGGGAGGGGGGGCGGCUAGAGAUGAAGAGGGCGCCGCAGCAGAAGGGGAAGCAGGGCGCGGGAUAGGGUUUGGGGGAAGGGGUGCAAAGGCAGGCUGCGCGGGGAGUGAACGCCGCAGCGCCGUGGGGAGAGGCGGGCGGAGGCUCCGGGGGCUCGGGAGCGGGCAGAGGGGGCGAGAUUUGGGAAGGGGACGGCGGUGGGGGAGAGCAGGAGAAAAACAAGCGCGCCUCGGAGCGGCAGGGACUGCUGCGAGGAGGAGGAGAGCGCCGGCCGCGGG